UACAGAGGUGGCAAGCGUUGUUCGGAAUUACUGGGCGUAAAGGGCGCGUAGGCGGCCUUCUAAGUCAGACGUGGAAUCCCCCGGCUUAACCUGGGAACUGCGUCUGAUACUGGAGGGCUUGAGUGCGGGAGAGGGAUGUGGAAUUCCAGGUGUAGCGGUGAAAUGCGUAGAUAUCUGGAGGAACACCGGUGGCGAAGGCGGCAUCCUGGACCGACACUGACGCUGAGGCGCGAAAGCUAGGGGAGCAAACGGG
rnacentral:rRNA from 1 species